GGGGUCGUGCUAUACAUGCAAGUCGAACGAGUUCUGAUUAUAUGAACGGUGCUUGCAUCUUGAUUUAACUUUGAACGAGUGGCGGACGGGUGAGUAACACGUGGGUAACCUGCCCUUAAGUGGGGGAUAACAUUUGGAAACAGAUGCUAAUACCGCAUAAAUCCAAGAACCGCAUGGUUCUUGGCUGAAAGAUGGCGUAAGCUAUCGCUUUUGGAUGGACCCGCGGCGUAUUAGCUAGUUGGUGAGGUAACGGCUCACCAAGGCAAUGAUACGUAGCCGAACUGAGAGGUUGAUCGGCCACAUUGGGACUGAGACACGGCCCAAACUCCUACGGGAGGCAGCAGUAGGGAAUCUUCCACAAUGGACGCAAGUCUGAUGGAGCAACGCCGCGUGAGUGAAGAAGGCUUUCGGGUCGUAAAACUCUGUUGUUGGAGAAGAAUGGUCGGCAGAGUAACUGUUGUCGGCGUGACGGUAUCCAACCAGAAAGCCACGGCUAACUACGUGCCAGCAGCCGCGGUAAUACGUAGGUGGCAAGCGUUAUCCGGAUUUAUUGGGCGUAAAGCGAGCGCAGGCGGUUUUUUAAGUCUGAUGUGAAAGCCCUCGGCUUAACCGAGGAAGUGCAUCGGAAACUGGGAAACUUGAGUGCAGAAGAGGACAGUGGAACUCCAUGUGUAGCGGUGAAAUGCGUAGAUAUAUGGAAGAACACCAGUGGCGAAGGCGGCUGUCUGGUCUGUAACUGACGCUGAGGCUCGAAAGCAUGGGUAGCGAACAGGAUUAGAUACCCUGGUAGUCCAUGCCGUAAACGAUGAAUGCUAGGUGUUGGAGGGUUUCCGCCCUUCAGUGCCGCAGCUAACGCAUUAAGCAUUCCGCCUGGGGAGUACGACCGCAAGGUUGAAACUCAAAGGAAUUGACGGGGGCCCGCACAAGCGGUGGAGCAUGUGGUUUAAUUCGAAGCAACGCGAAGAACCUUACCAGGUCUUGACAUCUUUUGAUCACCUGAGAGAUCAGGUUUCCCCUUCGGGGGCAAAAUGACAGGUGGUGCAUGGUUGUCGUCAGCUCGUGUCGUGAGAUGUUGGGUUAAGUCCCGCAACGAGCGCAACCCUUAUGACUAGUUGCCAGCAUUUAGUUGGGCACUCUAGUAAGACUGCCGGUGACAAACCGGAGGAAGGUGGGGAUGACGUCAAAUCAUCAUGCCCCUUAUGACCUGGGCUACACACGUGCUACAAUGGAUGGUACAACGAGUUGCGAGACCGCGAGGUCAAGCUAAUCUCUUAAAGCCAUUCUCAGUUCGGACUGUAGGCUGCAACUCGCCUACACGAAGUCGGAAUCGCUAGUAAUCGCGGAUCAGCACGCCGCGGUGAAUACGUUCCCGGGCCUUGUACACACCGCCCGUCACACCAUGAGAGUUUGUAACACCCGAAGCCGGUGGCGUAACCCUUUUAGGGAGCGAGCCGUCUAAGGUCACUAAU
rnacentral:rRNA from 1 species